rnacentral:rRNA from 1 species
CCCUUAGACGUUCUGGGCCGCACGCGCGCUACACUGAUGCAUUCAACGAGUCUAAAACCUGGUCUGAUAGGGCUGGGUAAUCUUUUGAAAGUGCAUCGUGAUUGGGAUAGAUGAUUGCAAUUCUUCAUCUUCAACGAGGAAUGCCUAGUAAACGCAAGUCAUCAGCUUGCAUUGAUUACGUCCCUGCCCUUUGUACACACCGCCCGUCGCUCCUACCGAUUGAAUGAUCCGAUGAAUACCAUGGAUUGAGAGUACGAAUGGGUUCGCUCAUUUCUGCUGCUCGAGAAGUGGAGUAAAUCUUAUCAUUUAGAGGAAGGAGAAGUCGUAACA